rnacentral:lncRNA from 1 species
GUUGAUAUACGGAAAAAAGAAGGGGAGUGGGAGGGGGAUGGAGGUAGGGAACGAGGGGGCAGAACAGGGGGACAAGUGCUGUUUUUCAUGUGCAAAACUCCUUAGCAAGUACCCUGUAGGCCUAACUUCAUUACAAGCCCCCAAACUGAAGUCACAGUAAGGAUUUUACAUUAAUUAACUGUAUGGAGAAACUGGCACUUUAUUCAGUUACCCAUUAGCCAGAAGGAGAAGCUAGAAUUAAAUUGGCCUUUAUGAUUUAGAAAAAUAACAAAACGGCACAGACAGCCAGUUCCAGAAGGCAAAACAGAACUCCUGCCAGCUGCAGAGACGGAGAUGCCCUCACAGGAGAGGUGUGGUCCCCAGCAAAAGUUAUUGGAGCAAGUCUUCAGUGAGGAAAGCAUGAUGAGUUUGUCCGGCUGCGUUUAAGGCUUGUCUGCAUGCUGAGGAACAGCACAGCACAUCCUUGCAGCUCUUAUCUACAGAGUGAUGUGGUGCACUGGUAGAGGGCUUUGUCUUUAUUCACAACACAUUCAGUGUGUCUCUGCAGGGAAGGAAACAACACUCUUGCCUGUCAGCCUGUCCUCUGCCACCGUCUGCAGAAUAAACUGAACUCUAACUCACCAUUAAAGAGAAAGAGAGAAAGGUAAAGAGAGAAAGCAAGAGAAAGGGAAUUGCUCUCUGGCUUUUUCAUAUAUUGGCUCUCUGCAAAGGCACAAAGCAGAAGGAGCAGCAUCAGCAACCUUGCAAGCAGUGACUCUAACUGUUUCUAAUUAAUAUGGUCUGAGCUACUUUGAGAAGCCAAUUCAUUACUUGUAUCUUUAAUGCUUGAGCUUUGCUGAAAACUGGAUGUGCCAAGCACACCUUUGCUUCUGAUUUAUAUGUAAAGACUUGCAUCUUUCACAGAAUAAACCUUAUCAGGAGAGAUUCAACUAAGGCAGGCUUUCAUCUGGCAGAUUGUGGUUCUUGUGCUGAACUGCAACAGCUAUUGUUGAGGUCGAAGUCCUGCACCUCUCUCACAUUUCCAGAGUACCUGGCAGGUAGGACUGAGCAUCAUAGAUGGACUUAUCUCCUCCAUGAAGGAGCAAGUAGUAUUGCAGAAGUGAUAGCAUAAGAACAUAACCAAAAUAAGGUUUUAAUUUAAAGACCAACACUUUUUAAAGUUUGAUUAAAGUAUUUCAGCACUGAUAUAAUAUAUGCACAUUUUAAGAACAAAGGCAAAACACACAAGUUUGGAAAAAUUGUAUUGGCAGACAUUCUACUGGUCCAACUGAGAAAAAAAUUCUAUAUACACACAGGUAACAAGGAAAAAAAAGGGUCUCACGUCUAUUCAAUUUUUAAAUAGGAUAGCUAUAAAAAAGGAUGUUUAGUUGCAAAGGAAGAAGAAAAUACUGGACAGUGUGAGAUGUGUGCUUCUGUGUCUGUCACGAUUCUAGACCUUUAACUGCAGCCCCCCUAAGUAGAUUCAUUAAGUCCUUUCUCAACCCAUACAAAAAGUUGUGUGACCUGGCAAUUGAAACAACUUUCUAUCUCAGUUUACACAUGAUACAAGUUUGUAUUUUUAAUAUUUUGAAGUCAAAUGCAGAAAUAUUUUUUGUGC